CACGUAGGGGGCAAGCGUUGUCCGGAUUUAUUGGGCGUAAAGAGCUCGUAGGUGGUUCGGUAAGUCGGGUGUUAAACCCCCAGGCUCAACCUGGGGGCGCCACUCGAUACUGCUGUGACUAGAGUCCGGUAGGGGAGCGUGGAAUUCCUGGUGUAGCGGUGAAAUGCGCAGAUAUCAGGAGGAACACCAGCGGCGAAGGCGGCGCUCUGGGCCGGUACUGACACUGAGGAGCGAAAGCGUGGGUAGCAAACAGG
rnacentral:rRNA from 1 species